rnacentral:rRNA from 1 species
GAUGAACGCUAGCUACAGGCUUAACACAUGCAAGUCGAGGGGCAGCGGUAUCGAAAGCUUGCUUUCGGUAGCCGGCGACCGGCGCACGGGUGAGUAACGCGUAUCGAACCUGCCUCAUACUCGGGAAUAGCCUUGCGAAAGUAAGAUUAAUGCCCGGUGUUUUCAGAGUCCCGCAUGAGGCUUUGAACAAAGAUUUAUCGGUAUGAGAUGGCGAUGCGUCCCAUUAGCUUGUUGGCGGGGUAACGGCCCACCAAGGCAUCGAUGGGUAGGGGUUCUGAGAGGAAGGUCCCCCACAUUGGAACUGAGACACGGUCCAAACUCCUACGGGAGGCAGCAGUGAGGAAUAUUGGUCAAUGGGCGGAAGCCUGAACCAGCCAAGUAGCGUGCAGGAAGACGGCCCUCCGGGUUGUAAACUGCUUUUAGUUGGGGAUAAAACGGGGCUCGUGAGCCCCCUUGCAUGUACCAUCAGAAAAAGGACCGGCUAAUUCCGUG